GCAGUUUAUAACCCAAAUUACAGUUGAAGCAGUUUCAAAUUUAUCUUAAUUAGUUUCUGGGAGGAGCGUUAAUCUUUUCGGUUCGGUUUAUAUUCAUCGGAUGUUCACCUCUUUAUUUGAAUAUUUGAUGGUUUGAACUGAAUUAAAAAUGAUAUCUUUUCCCAAUUGGAUUCAAAUAUAUUUUCCUUUGAUCCAUUUUGGAGAUAGUGGGGAUAAAGUUUAGUUUUAACUUAUGAGCUUCUUGAUUCUAUGCAAAUUGAAGCUUCUUGGUUCUUAUCACUUGUGGGCUCUAACUUCCCAACAAAAAGUAGAGAUACUCAUAGUUAUUACUUCCAGUUUAGAUGGUUGGAUUAUGGUUAAUUGGAUGAUGUUUAUUUGUGCUUCUAUUGUUUUUAUGUUAAGAGAUAACAAGCAAUUUGGUUUUGUCGUUGACGGGGGGUUAGAGGAAAGGAAGAAAAAUAAAAGAGGAGAGAGGGGGAGAACGAAGAAGAGAGGAAAGUAAUAGAGAGUUGUUGAGAAGAAAGAGGAGAAGGAAGGAGGGAGGGACAAAGUUUGGUAUUUGAGGGUUUGCACGUUUUGGGUGAACUUCUCCGUUGGAAGAAGUUGAUCUUGGAAUACUGCAAUUGAACAAGUAUCAUCCUCAUUAAUAUACGAACGGAACCACUUGUGAUCUUACAAAACAGCUUCGAGAUACUGAAAUAUGAAGCUGUGAACUUUAUUUAGUUUUCAUUUUUCUGUUCCCAUCCCUCUUCUCCUUACUCUAUAUGCAUUUUGCAAGUGAGAUUUGUAUGCUCAGAGCUGAGAGCUAUGAUUAGUUCAAUUACAGAGAUAUCCACAUGCAAGUAUGCAGUUGCAAGUAAAUGCCCCACACUUUGCAAGCAUCCGUAAGCCUCUAUCUCUUUCCCCUCUGUCUCUCUAUUUAGUGAAUCUAAUGGCUACUUUCAACCAACAGAUUAUUCCAAUCAGAGAGACCAGUAUGGUAGACCAUUAAUUGUAAUGUACUUCCCAAGGAUUACAAGGAAACCCAAGUUGAGGAUGAAGAAUCUAAAAUUAAGCAGAUAGUUAUGGUCAUAGACAGUGAAUCUCAUUCCAAUGAUAAAUCUGAGAAAUAACAUUUUAUAAAUUCAGAAAAUUUUGUGAA